GGUGGAGGUAGAGAGGCCGUAUGCUGUGAAGUCUAUGAAGAUGGAACAUGGGUGUGAUACUCCAUCAAGCUCAUGGAGGUGGAGGUAGAGAGGCCGUAUGCUGUGAAGUCUAUGAAGAUGGAGCAUGGGUGUGAUACUCCAUCAAGCUCAUGGAGGUGGAGGGAGAGAGGCCGUAUGCUGUGAAGUCUAUGAAGAUGGAGCAUGGGUGUGAUACUCCAUCAAGCUCAUGGAGGUGGAGGUAGAGAGGCCGUAUGCUGUGAAGUCUAUGAAGAUGGAGCAUGGGUGUGAUACUCCAUCAAGCUCAUGGAGGUGGAGGGAGAGAGGCCGUAUGCUGUGAAGUCUAUGAAGAUGGAGCAUGGGUGUGAUACUCCAUGAAGCCCAUGGAGGUGGAGGGAGAGAGGCCGUAUGCUGUGAAGUCUAUGAAGAUGGAGCAUGGGUGUGAUACUCCAUGAAGCUCAUGGAGGUGGAGGGAGAGAGGCCGUAUGCUGUGAAGUCUAUGAAGAUGGAGCAUGGGUGUGAUACUCCAUCAAGCUCAUGGAGGUGGAGGUAGAGAGGCCGUAUGCUGUGAAGUCUAUGAAGAUGGAGCAUGGGUGUGAUACUCCAUCAAGCUCAUGGAGGUGGAGGGAGAGAGGCCGUAUGCUGUGAAGUCUAUGAAGAUGGAGCAUGGGUGUGAUACUCCAUGAAGCCCAUGGAGGUGGAGGUAGAGAGGCCGUAUGCUGUGAAGUCUAUGAAGAUGGAGCAUGGGUGUGAUACUCCAUCAAGCUCAUGGAGGUGGAGGGAGAGAGGCCGUAUGCUGUGAAGUCUAUGAAGAUGGAGCAUGGGUGUGAUACUCCAUCAAGCUCAUGGAGGUGGAGGGAGAG